rnacentral:rRNA from 1 species
AAGAGUUUGAUCCUGGCUCAGGAUGAACGCUGGCGGCGUGCCUAAUACAUGCAAGUCGAGCGAACAGAUAAGGAGCUUGCUCCUUUGACGUUAGCGGCGGACGGGUGAGUAACACGUGGAUAACCUACCUAUAAGACUGUCUUUUUCUUCGGGAAACCGGAGCUAAUACCGGAUAACAUAUUGAACCGCAUGGUUCAAUAGUGAAAGGCGGCUUUGCUGUCACUUAUAGAUGGAUCCGCGCCGUAUUAGCUAGUUGGUAAGGUAACGGCUUACCAACGCAACGAUACGUAGCCGACCUGAGAGGGUGAUCGGCCACACUGGAAGUGAGACACGGUCCAGACUCCUACGGGAGGCAGCAGUAGGGAAUCUUCCGCAAUGGGCGAAAGCCUGACGUUCAACGCCGCGUGAGUGAUGAAGGUCUUCGGACAUCAUCUCUGUUAUCAGGGAAGAACAAAUGUGUAAGUAACUGUGCACAUCUG